AUGGCGACUGCGUGGGUAUGGGCCACCUGCUUCCUCUCCCCAGCACUGUUCCGGCAGCGUCUGGGCCUCUUUAAGGGCAGAGCAAGGCAGCGGAGGGUGCAGUGAGCUCUGUUCAUCUAAUCAUGUUCCCAAAUCCUGUAGUGUUCUCUCCAAUCAAGGCCAUUUUCUGCAGUCUUUGAGGAACUGAGAUGAUGAGGCCCAGGAUGGUUCAAAUCAGACUCUGAGAAGAGGGCAUCUGUAGCAGAGCGUGUGGAACCUUCAGAGGAAUGUCUCUUUCUAAAUACCUAAUUAUGAAACCAUCAACAAAAGGAAAGAACAAAUACUGAACAGGAAGAUAUUUGUGAACGAUAAAUCUGAUAAGGUGUUAAUAACCCAAAUAUCAAAAAAUCAUACAACUCAAUACCCUAAAAAAUCUGAUCCAAAAAUGGAUAGAGGACCUGAGUAAACAUUUUUGCAAAGUAGACAUACAGACAGCAGAUACAUGGAAAGAUGCUCACCAUCACUAAUCAUCAGACUAAGAAGACCAAUUCAGUAAAAUACUAGAGCAAUCUACCAACUCAACCUCUGAAUUGAGAAACUCCUUGGGGAUUUCAAAGGCGGGCCUGCAGAACAGACUAGGCCACCCCAAAAUAUGCCAGUUUCAGCAUACUCAUUAUUUGGAAUUAAAGUUACUCAAGAAACAGCUGGUGCAAGGACACUCUGAACCUCCUUUGUCCCCCUGAGAGCAGAAAAUAAAUCUCCCAUUUGAAGACACCCACCCUGUACCAGGAGGGUAGAAAAUGUCUCUACCCCCAGAGAGGGGGAAUUCAAGGCCAAAAAUGCUGUAUGAACAAACUUUGUUACGUCUUCACUAAUUUGCGUCUUCAAGCCCGAACCCCUGCUUUGUCAGUUCUCCAAAAAUGUAUUGUUUCUUUUCCUGAAACAGCCGCCUGCUUUGGUCAUUUCUUUGAGUCUCAUAUUUUUAUGGGUUCCCGUAUGUACACAAUUAAA